rnacentral:rRNA from 1 species
GACGAACGCUGGCGGCGUGCUUAACACAUGCAAGUCGAACGGAAAGGCCCUGCUUGCAGGGUACUCGAGUGGCGAACGGGUGAGUAAGACGUGGGUGAUCUGCCCUGCACUUCGGGAUAAGCCUGGGCAACUGGGUCUAAUACCGGAUAGGAGCCAUUUUUAGUGUGAUGGUUGGAAAGUUUUUUCGGUGUAGGAUGAGCUCGCGGGCUAUCAGCUUGUUGGUGGGGUAAUGGCCUACCAAGGCGGCGACGGGUAGCCGGCCUGAGAGGGUGGGCGGCGACAUUGGGACUGAGAGACGGCCCAGACUCCGACGGGAGGCAGCAGUGGGGAAUAUUGCACAAUGGGCGCAAGCCGGAUGCAGCGACGCCGCGUGGGGGAUGACGGCCUUCGGGUUGUAAACUCCUUGCGCUAGGGACGAAGCUUUUUGUGACGGUACCUAGAUAAGAAGCACCGGCUAACUACGUG